ACGCUGGCGGCGUGCCUAACACAUGCAAGUCGAACGGAGUAGAGACUUCGGUUUUUGCUUAGUGGCGAACGGGUGAGUAACGCGUGAGAAACCUGCCUUUCAGUGGGGGACAACAGUUGGAAACGACUGCUAAUACCGCAUAAUGUAUCGAGAGGGCAUCCUUUUGAUACCAAAGAUUUAUUGCUGAAAGAUGGUCUCGCGUCUGAUUAGCUAGUUGGUGAGGUAACGGCUCACCAAGGCGACGAUCAGUAGCCGGUCUGAGAGGAUGAACGGCCACAUUGGGACUGAGAUACGGCCCAGACUCCUACGGGAGGCAGCAGUGGGGAAUAUUGGGCAAUGGGGGAAACCCUGACCCAGCAACGCCGCGUGAAGGAAGAAGGCCUUCGGGUUGUAAACUUCUUUUACCAGGGACGAAGAACGUGACGGUACCUGGAGAAAAAGCAACGGCUAACUACGUG
rnacentral:rRNA from 1 species